AUAUCAAUAAGCGGAGGAAAAGAAACCAACAGGGAUUGCCUUAGUAACGGCGAGUGAAGCGGCAAAAGCUCAAAUUUGAAAUCUGGCACCUUCGGUGUCCGAGUUGUAAUUUGAAGAAGGUAACUUUGGAGUCAGCUCUUGUCUAUGUUCCUUGGAACAGGACGUCACAGAGGGUGAGAAUCCCGUGCGAUGAGAUGUCUGAUUCUAUGUAAAGUGCUUUCGAAGAGUCGAGUUGUUUGGGAAUGCAGCUCUAAGUGGGUGGUAAAUUCCAUCUAAAGCUAAAUAUUGGCGAGAGACCGAUAGCGAACAAGUACAGUGAUGGAAAGAUGAAAAGAACUUUGAAAAGAGAGUGAAAAAGUACGUGAAAUUGUUGAAAGGGAAGGGUUUGAGAUCAGACUUGGUAUUUUGUAUGUCUUGCUUUCGGGUGGGGCCUCUACAGUUUACUGGGCCAGCAUCGGUUUGGACGGUAGGAUAAUGACAUUGGAAUGUGGCACCACUUCGGUGGUGUGUUAUAGACUUUGUUGAUACUGCCUGUCUAGACCGAGGACUGCGUCUUUGA
rnacentral:rRNA from 1 species